rnacentral:rRNA from 1 species
UACGAAGGGGGCUAGCGUUGCUCGGAUUUACUGGGCGUAAAGGGCGCGUAGGCGGACAGUUAAGUUGGGGGUGAAAGCUCGGGGCUCAACCCCGAGUCGGCCGUGCGAACUGGGUCACUGGAGCAGAUCAGAGGCGGGCGGAAUUCCGGGUGUAGCGGUGGAAUGCGCAGAUAUCAGGAGGAACACCGAUGGCGAAGGCAGCUCGCUGGGACGGUACUGACACUGAGGCGCGAAGCGUGGGAGCGAACGG